GAGUCUACCUCUCCCGUGGGUCUGCCUCCGCCAUGAGUCUGCCUGCACUCUGUGGGUCUUCCCCCUCCGUGCGUCGGUCCACCACUCCCGAGCGCGCAGAGCAGUUUCCACGGAUCCGCUGCCCUCUACACCCCCGCCCACCACGCCCGACGGUUCCCCGUCGCCGCUCCCCCGCUCGACGGCUCAUCCUCCUCCCCUGCGAAUCCCUCAGACGCACGGUGUCCGUGGCCGCCGCCCUCCACGCCGCCGCCGCCCACGAAGCCACGCCGCCAUCUCUAUCCGCCCGCUCGUCGCCGUGCGCCACGCAUUCGUCGGCCCCUUCCUCUGCGGCCGGGGCGCCCCUCCUCUCUUCAAGCCUGGUGCCGCCCUCCACACCGGCGGAGAGGAAGGCCGUCCCCCUCGCGCAUCACCUUCCCCCCACCCGAUGCGGCCUCCCUCCCCCAACUGAAGCUCGGACCCCUUCGCGCCUCCCUCCCGCCACUCGACGCCGGCUCCGGCGCGAGACCCCACGGCCUGCCGGCUCCGAGAUCGCGGCGCCUCCAAGGAUCGUCGGGCUCGGCGCCUUCCAGCUCGUGCUCGCCGUCAAGGAUCGCUGCAACGGCAUCCGCGAGGUAUCAAAACAAGAGUGACAUGACUGGACAACCAGCUGGACUUGAUCUUGAUGAGAAUAGUGAUUGGUUGCAUACUAAUGACUCCUACGUAUGGGGAACUCCCCGACAUGAGGGUAUUGCAUCGACGCCGACAGUGCUUUCUCGAGAUUGUGCUGCCUAUGGAGAUUCCGUAUUGACCAAUGCGGACUCACAAGAUGUUCCAGGGGCUGAGAGUGUACCCAAUUCAUCGUCAGCAAGCCAUAAUAAUAAACAAUGUAAGCGGGAAAGGGAAAGAGCAAGGUAUGCAGCGAUGUCUCAGGAAGAGAAAAAUGCAAGAAAUCUGAGGAAACGUGAAGCGCGUCAGAAAAAAAGGUGUUCUUGGCUAGCGAGCAGCGCCGGCGUCGGCGGCGAUGACGAAGGAGACGGAGUACUACGACGUGCUCGGCGUCUGUCCCGCCGCAUCUGACGACGAGAUCUGCAAGGCCUACUACAUCAAGGCGAGGCAGGUGCAUCCAGAAUUCCAGACAAGAAUCCCAACGACCCGCAGGCGGCCGAGAAGUUCCAAGUCCUCACUGCAGCUUGAUUCAGUCCAUGUUCUUGCUGGACAACGACUUGAUUUAGCGGAGUGAAUGUGUAGUGUGCUGACAAGCUGAUGGUUCCCCUCUCGAUGAUGGUUCCCCUCUCGAAGUCUCGAUGAUGGUUCCCAGGCUCUUGGAGAGGCCUACCAGGUUCUGAGUGACCCUCUGCAGAGGAAGGCCUAUGACGGCUAUGGCAAGAACAGCAUAUCCAGGGACAACAUACUGGAUGGCACUGUUGUUUUCACCCUCCUUUUCAGGAGCGAGCUGUUCGAGGACUACAUUGGUCAUCUUGCAUUAUGAGUGCUUUACGAAAACAAUGUCAAUAAAGAGGAUCUGAAGGCCCGAGCAACGGCCUUGAAAAAUUUCAGAGGGACAAGGAGGCAUUACCUGGGCCAGGGCCAGGGCCGUCAGGGCCAUCAAAACGAACAGUUCUUGAUGAUGACAGCAGUUCAGAUGACAGUUCAGAUGAUGACAUAGCUCGGACGGUGCCAUAUCGAACUCCUGCAUUUACUCAG